CUCACAGUGUAUGCCUCAGUAAGAAAGGGGAGGUUCAGAGAGGAUAAGUAACUUCUCUAAGGUUACACAGCUAGACACUAGAGCCAGGCUUUCAGUUACUUGUCCGUCUGACUCCAGAACCUUUCGUUGUGGUUUGUGUUUUAUUUUGGCUACGGCUCCUAGAGCUCUCUGUGGCAUGUUUUUUAGAUCGAGGGGCCACGUGCUAGUGUGAAGUAUACAUCUCGACAACUCUUUGCAUGUGUGCACGCCCAUGUAACCACCACCCAGAGUAAGAUACAUUUCCAGAAGAUUCCUCAUGCCCCUUCCAGGUACUCGCUAUUCUGACCUCUAUCAGCAUUGAUUAGUUUUUCCUGGGAGGAGCGGCGUGGAACCACUUCUCUCGCUGAGGCAAGAAGGAAGACAGGAGGAUUUCCGUGUGGGGAGGAGCUGCUCACGGCAACAUCGGAGGGGGAGCCUCCACAGGCAGUGGGGAGGGAGCGUUCAUAUGGCGCACGGUCCCACCGGGUCUCCGCACGCUACCGUGAGGUAGGCAGCGAAGCGAGGAGAGUUUGAAUCGGAUGCAGAAAGCCAUGUGCCCAAAGCGACACGGCAAGUUAGUGGUGGAUCCGGAGGCCUGGAGUCUCCUGGCGUCUUGAACUUCUUACAGAAGCCUGACAUAUACACAAAACUGAGAGUUUAGCUGGUGAAUUUUCACAAAGUAAUCAGACUCCUGAAGCCAGUGCCGGAUCAACAGGACACUGCCAGCCCCUCAGAAGCCCCUUCACAGCCCCCAAAGAGGAGCCAUCACCCUGACUUCUAACAUCACAGGUUAGCUUUGCCUCUUUUGAACUUUGUGCAAGUGGACUCACAGCACACGUGUUGCUCUGUGCGUGAGCUCCAUCCACACUGUGCGUGCGCUUGUUCAUUCAUUCUUACUGUGGUGUUCCGUGUGAAUAUACCAAAAUCUAUUUCGCCGUUCCGCUGCUGAUGGGCAUUUGGGCAGUUCCCAGUCUGGAGGCAUUUCAAAUAGUGCUGCUAUGGAAAUUACUAGUAUAGUGCUGUCCAGUAAAAUCUACUACAGGGUAUACUCAAGAACUGAAAGCAGGGACUCGAACAGAUAUUUGUACAUAAGCGUUCAUUGCAGCAUUUACAACAGCCGAAAUGUAGAAACAACCCAAAUGUCCAUCAGCUGAUGAAUAGAUGUGUACAUAAACACGAUGGACUGUUGCUCAGCCUUAAAAAGGAAGGACACUUGGACACCGUGUGAGCCGUGAAGACGUUAUGCUAGGUGAAAUGAGCCAGACUCAAAAGAACAAACACUGUAGGAUUCCCUUAUAUGAAGGAGAGACUAGAGCAGUCAAAUUUUGAGAGGCAGGGACUAGAAUGGUAGUUUCCAGGGCCUGGGAAGAGGGAACGGGGAGCUGUUGUUUAACGGGACAGAGUUUCUAUACAGGAAGAUGAAAAAGUUCCGGAUGUGGCUGGUGGUCACGUGUUCACAGCAACGUGAUCAUUCUUGGUGCCACUAAGCUGUACAGAUAGAAAUGGCCUCGAUAAUGAAUUUGA